rnacentral:rRNA from 1 species
AGCUUGCUGGGUGGAUUAGUGGCGAACGGGUGAGUAACACGUGAGCAACCUGCCCCUGACUCUGGGAUAACAGCCGGAAACGGUUGCUAAUACCGGAUAUGCAUCAUGGCCGCAUGGUCUGUGGUGGGAAAGAUUUUUCGGUUGGGGAUGGGCUCGCGGCCUAUCAGCUUGUUGGUGAGGUAGUGGCUCACCAAGGCGUCGACGGGUAGCCGGCCUGAGAGGGUGACCGGCCACACUGGGACUGAGACACGGCCCAGACUCCUACGGGAGGCAGCAGUGGGGAAUAUUGCACAAUGGGCGGAAGCCUGAUGCAGCAACGCCGCGUGAGGGAUGACGGCCUUCGGGUUGUAAACCUCUUUUAGCAGGGAAGAAGCGAAAGUGACGGUACCUGCAGAAAAAGCGCCGGCUAACUACGUGCCAGCAGCCGCGGUAAUACGUAGGGCGCAAGCGUUAUCCGGAAUUAUUGGGCGUAAAGAGCUCGUAGGCGGUUUGUCGCGUCUGCUGUGAAAACCCGAGGCUCAACCUCGGGCCUGCAGUGGGUACGGGCAGACUAGAGUGCGGUAGGGGAGAUUGGAAUUCCUGGUGUAGCGGUGGAAUGCGCAGAUAUCAGGAGGAACACCGAUGGCGAAGGCAGAUCUCUGGGCCGUUACUGACGCUGAGGAGCGAAAGGGUGGGGAGCAAACAGGCUUAGAUACCCUGGUAGUCCACCCCGUAAACGUUGGGAACUAGUUGUGGGGGCCUUUCCACGGUCUCCGUGACGCAGCUACGCAUUAAGUUCCCCGCCUGGGGAGUACGGCCGCAAGGCUAAAACUCAAAGGAAUUGA